AGUAAUGAUGUUUUUUCUCACGAUGGUCUUCAUAAUCUUUGUGAUGAGAUUGCUUAAGGCAUUGCUGAUAGCUACUCA